rnacentral:rRNA from 1 species
GACGAACGCUGGCGGCGUGCUUAACACAUGCAAGUCGAGCGAUGAACCCGGAGCUUGCUCCGGUGGAUUAGUGGCGAACGGGUGAGUAACACGUGAGUAACCUGCCCUUGACUCUGGGAUAACUGCGGGAAACUGUAGCUAAUACCGGAUACGACCCUCGGCGGCAUCGCCAGGGGGUGGAAAGAAUUUCGGUCAAGGAUGGAGUCGCGGCCUAUCAGCUAGUUGGUGAGGUAACGGCUCACCAAGGCGACGACGGGUAGCCGGCAUGAGAGGGUGGCCGGCCACACUGGGACUGAGACACGGCCCAGACUCCUACGGGAGGCAGCAGUGGGGAAUAUUGCACAAUAGGCGCAAGCCUGAUGCAGCAACGCCGCGUGAGGGAUGACGGCCUUCGGGUUGUAAACCUCUUUUAGUAGGGAAGAAGCGAAAGUGACGGUACCUGCAGAAAAAGCACCGGCUAACUACGUGCCAGCCGCCGCGGUAA